rnacentral:rRNA from 1 species
UACAGAGGUCUCAAGCGUUGUUCGGAUUCAUUGGGCGUAAAGAGCGUGUAGGCGGCUUGGAAAGUCUUACGUGAAAGCCUGCGGCUCAACCGCAGAAGUGCGUAGGAAACUUCCUCGCUAGAGUCCGGAAGAGGAGAGCGGAAUUCCUGGUGUAGCGGUGGAAUGCGCAGAUAUCAGGAGGAACACCCGUGGCGAAGGCGGCUCUCUGGGACGGUACUGACGCUGAGACGCGAAAGCGUGGGGAGCGAACAGG